rnacentral:tRNA from 1 species
GUUUUAAUAGCUUAUAAAGAGUUUAAUGUUGAAAGCAUUAAGGAGGUUUUAAACCUUAAGAUA